ACUCUGAUCCAGCCAUGCCGCGUGCAGGAUGACGGCCCUCUGGGUUGUAAACUGCUUUUAUCCGGGAAUAAACCUUUCUACGUGUAGAGAGCUGAAUGUACUGGAAGAAUAAGGAUCGGCUAACUCCGUGCCAGCAGCCGCGGUAAUACGGAGGAUCCAAGCGUUAUCCGGAUUUAUUGGGUUUAAAGGGUGCGUAGGCGGCCUAUUAAGUCAGAGGUGAAAGACGGUAGCUCAACUAUCGCAGUGCCUUUGAUACUGAUGGGCUUGAAUGAACUAGAGGUAGGCGGAAUGAGACAAGUAGCGGUGAAAUGCAUAGAUAUGUCUCAGAACACCGAUUGCGAAGGCAGCUUACUAUGGUUUUAUUGACGCUGAGGCACGAAAGCGUGGGGAUCAAACAGGAUUAGAUACCCUGGUAGUCCACGCCCUAAACGAUGAAUACUCGCUGUUAGCGAUAUACAGUUAGCGGCUAAGCGAAAGCGUUAAGUAUUCCACCUGGGGAGUACGCUCGCAAGAGUGAAACUCAGAGGAAUUGACGGGGGCCCGCACAAGCGGAGGAGCAUGUGGUUUAAUUCGAUGAUACGCGAGGAACCUUACCCGGGCUUGAAAGUUAGUGAAGAUUUCAGAGAUGAAUUC
rnacentral:rRNA from 1 species